rnacentral:rRNA from 1 species
GCACGGACUUCGGUCUGGUGGGCGAGUGGCGAACGGGUGAGUGAAUAGUGUAUCGGAACGUGCCUAGUAGCGGGGAUAACUACGCGAAAGCGUAGCUAAUACUGCAUAGCCGCCCUUCGGGGAAAGCGGGGACCUUCGGGCCUCGCACUAUUAGAGCGGCUCGGAUAUCGGAUUAGCUAGUUGCGUAACGGCUCACAAGGCGACGAUCCGUAGCUGGUUUGAGAGGACGACCAGCCACACCGGGACUGGAGACACGGCCCAGACUCUACGGAGGCAGCAGUGGUGGUCUUGAUACUGGGGAAAUUGAUCCGUUUCAUCUGGUGUGUGCGAUGAAGGCCUUCGGGUUGUAAAGCACUUUUGCAGGAAGGAACGGCACGUGGAUAAUACCCCGUGCAAUCGACGGUACCUGCAGAAUAAGCACCAUUAACGAUGCCGUUAUUUUUGCAACGAUGUUGCGCCUGACCAAUUAUUGGGGCGGAAGUGUGCAGGUACUGGAAUAUGACGCAAAAACCCGAGUUGUCCUUUGUGGAACUGCAUUUUUUAACUACUGAGCUAGAGUGUAUGAGGGAGGUGGAAUUCCGGGUGUGUAGCAGCCGAAAUGCGUAGAUAUGCGGAGACGAACACUGAUGGCGAAGGCAGCUCUCCUGGAUAACAUCCUCGACGCUCAUGCACGAAAGCGUGGGGAGCAACAGGAUACCUGAUAGACAUCAUGAAGAGUUCCACAUCACGCUGAUGUCGAUACUAGGGUCUUCGGGCCUUGGUAGCGCAGCUAACGCGUGAAGUUGACCGCCUGGGGAGUACGGUCGCAAGAUUAGAACUCAAAGGAAUUGACGGGGACUCCGCACAAGCGGUGGAUGAUGUGGAUUGGUAUCUGAUGCAACGCGAAAAACCAUCAUCCCUGAUGAUACCUGGAAUCCCGAAGAGAUCUGGGAGCGGUCAAGAGAACGGGAAAUCAGCUGCAUGGCUGUCGUCAGCUCGUGUCAGAGAUGCUGUUGUUCCGCAACGAGCGCCAACCUUGUCAUUAGUUGCUACGAAAGGCACCUGACGAGACUGCCGGUGACAAACCCGAGGAAUGGUGGGGAUGACGUCAAGUCCUCAUGGCCCUUAUGGGCUUCACACGUCAUACAAUGGUUUUGACGAUAACGCCAAACCCGAGCAUUAAUCCCAGAAACCCGAUCGUAGUCCGGGUCGCAGUCUGCAACUCGACUGCGUGAAUGCUUCGGAACCGCAGGUGCGGUAAUCGCGUGGAUUCAGCGUCGCGGUGAAUACGUUCCUGCAUUCGUGGCGACACGCCACACCAUGGUAGUUUGUUUACCAGAAGUAGUUAUAUCCAAUCCGCUGCCGAGGAUGUACCACGUUGGGUAGGAUUCAUGAUCAAACGUAAUAAGGGGUAUGC